UUUUUUUUUUUUUUAAUAGCUCAUAUCACUUCUUAGUGUUAUACCAGAUUCUCUGCAUGUGUGCAUCUUUACUGAGCAUCUGGGCUGAAACCACUGUUGUCUGUAGUGAAGAGUGCUGCCCCAAGCCUGAGAACGCAGGUAUCCUGUGCACAUCAACUUCAUACCCUUCAGGGAGGCUUUGGUUAUGAGCCACUGAUCUUCAUCAUCUCUGUGCCAGUAUCAUGCUGUCUUGGCUGUCCUGGCUCUGUGGUAAAUUUUGAAGUCAGGUAUUUGAUAACCCCAGCAUUGUUCUUUUUGUUCAGGGUAGCUUUGGAUGUUCAAGGUCUUUUGUUCUUCACAGACAGCCAUGUGAGAACAAAGAAGGGGAAAGUAGUGCAUUCCAUCUGGCAGUGAAGUCAAGGAACAAAAUAAAAUUUGCUCCUUAAGCUGUGGGACUUCCUAGGUGUCCUAUAUAAUCCUUUCUCUCGGAAAUGAUGGCAUUCCCUCUUCUGCACAGAGGAGCUGUUUUAUUCCAUGACUUGCAAAAACCCUAUUGGAUGGGAAAAGUUCAGAGGAGCCUGGGUUUGUCAUCUCCACCUAUGAGGUAAGCUGGUGUUUCUUGAGUAUUUUCUAUGGUUGGCACUGUUCUAAGAGCUGAGGAUACAGUGGUGUGUGAGGUUCUUGCUUUCCUGAGGCUCCUUCCAUGUGUGCCUUGGCCUCUGCAGGUUUCCAUUACCCCUGCUAUGAGGGAGGUCAGGAAAGUAGCAUCUUCCUGGAGAAAUCUCAAAAGCUCCUUUUGGUAUUCAAGCAAGCCUGAGCUCUUCCUCAUUUACCAGCAGCCCAAUGAAAAUGAAUGCAAUCCGGUCUGACUUUGCAGCUUGCGUCCUUAUGUGUAAACUCUAUUUGUUGAUGCUAUAUAAAUUUAAUGGAUGCUUCCAAGUCCAUUUAGCCAACAUGGGUUAAAGCAGUGAACUAGUUCUCCAUGUUCCUCUAUUUUAUAUACAUUAUGACUCUGUAUAUGGAACCAUAAAACUCAGGACAGAUUUAUUCAUGUGCUGCACUAUAUAUUUUCAUAGAAAUGUUUUGCUAGGCACCUGUAAUAGGCUGAUGUAUGUGAACAGUUUUCUAAAGUUUAUUUCACAUAGAUCUCUCUUAAAUUGCAUGUGAGUGACAUUUUAUUGGCUUAACUCUUGUUUCCAUGACACAGCCCCAAUUUGCAUCCCUGCUGUGGCCUUACUCCCCCUUGCUUGUGGUGUGUGUGUGUGCUCCUCUUGUCUUUGAUGCAUUUCUUCAGGAAGCUAUCACUAAAGACUCCAGAUUGGCCUCUUUCCUGGAGAAGCCAAUCCAUCUCUUGUGUGUUGCAAAAGUGGACUUGAAUAUUCAAAUUCCAUGCCUUAACUGAUUAUGGCAUAGUGACAUAAAGACAUGGACUGGUCCCAUUCUUUGUGUGAUCAGAGUGCAUGGCAUGAAAACAUCGGUGAGAUAACAUGGCCCUUUUCCUAAGUGGUUUUCUUCACCUGACACUGACUCAGACUUCUUGACCUGCAAUUCCAUCAAAGUAAGAUGGAAAACAAAGACAUGCACAUGUGCCAAAUACCUUGUAUAAGCCAAAUUUGUGGUGCACUUUGAAGAUCUACAGUCUUGCUUAAGGUCUAUACAUCAGGAAAGUUGUUGCAGGGAGAUUAAAGAACUGGACCAAGGUCACACAGCUAAUGAGUGGUGGGACCACUGAGCAGUUAAACCCACGAGGAUCCAGGGCUCACAAAAGGAUUCCAGGGAGCCAAAGGCAACACUGCCUUCUCCUUGCCUAUAGCACAACAUCCAUUUCAGCUAUCACUGAAUAAUGGUUCAUUUAAUGAAUGUGCCCUAUGUGUUGAGGACUGUGCUCACUGGGUACUGCAUUUGAGCUAGGCAGAGUGAUGUUUGAGUUACAGGAUUUCAUGUUACCUCCUUCUCUAUAUAAGAAUACCAUGUAAGGAUACUACAAAUGAAUGGCUUGGCUUUGAAAGAAAAUCUUAGCAUCAAGAGAAGCAAAUUCCUCUCUGCAUUUCCAGUUGUAUGGGACAUACAUAGACAAGGUACCCCUUGAACAUUUUGAAAUGAAUCAAUUAUGGGUAGAUUUAUAACGUGUCUGAAGAAAAUAUUAUAUACAUUUAUUUGCAUAUCCACGACCCCCACAGUCCAGUGCUGUACUGUGUCAUCUGUGAAUCUUCAGUGUCUGGCAAUGGACUCACCAUAAAUCAGAGCUUGAUAUAUGAAUAUAUGGGAGAGAGACUAUGCAAUAUCAGGGCAAUUUGGGCACUGUUAGGAAUGAUCAGUCUAGUGUCAAAAGAAAGGCAGAAUAAAGAAACAAGAAAAUGGGUGUCAAGCACUGACCUCAAGAGUAAAAUUUAAACUGAUUACCAAAAAAACUUAGCAAUCAAAUUAAAUAGUAUUUUAAUGUGAUAUUUUACAUAAUCAAAAUAGGAUCUGACAAAGCCAAAGAUUAGCAUUUGACAACAAGAUGAAAAGUCAUAACUCAUGUUUGUUUAAAAUUUUUAUUUUUCACCCCUGCUUUGCAUUUACCUUGUUUUUAAAAAAGAAAAUGCACCAAAACAUUGUUUAUUUCCAUCACUGAAAUCAUGGCACAGAUUAAAUUUUAUAUCCAAGAUGGAUUUCUCUCAUUUGCCUUGCCUUAGCACUUGCUCUGUAAAGCCAACACUAACAACUGAAAAUUCUUGGGUAUCUGGUUAUAUGAGAUGUACUUUGUGUAAGAAAAGUCACAGAAAUCUCACAGAAGCCUAUCUUUCAGGAAGGUUCACAGAUAGGAUGGCUAAAAUAUGAGGAGGCGAUAUUGCCUUCCUGGGCUAUCACACAGAUUACAGAUGUGUCCUAGAUAUUGCUUUUCUCAGCCCCCAACAGGUACUGCCCAGAUCCUGGGUAUGUGGGGGGUCACAGGACAGCUGCCUCCUGCCAGAAGCAGUCCCAUACAUUUAACCCACCAUGCUACACCAACAUUACAUUCCAGUGAAUUCUAAAUUCUACCCAUUAUCAGAAUCAGCAUGGUUUUAUGUUUCUGUUCCCCAUGCCACCAAGAUAACAGCAAUUUUCAGGUGCUAACAACUGUAAGAUACAUCCCAAUUUCAGAGAUUCUGUAAUAUGAAAUUUUAAAAACUGCAUUUUGGAAUGGUAAAAAAAUACAUUAUGAUUCUAUUCCAAGUGUUGAAAUUCAUUCUAUUCCAUGAUGUUGAAAAAAGACAGAAAUUCUACUUAAGGGUAUGCUGUGGCGAUAAGAACAACAGACUUGAGUGCUAUGCAUAUCUCUAAAUAUUUACAAGUCCGUCUACCACCUGCAACCCAUCAAAAGGUGCUAUACUUUCUACAAUGGAAAACUUCAAACCGGUGGCAAGGGAGAGAUGCUACUUUCCCUUAGGAAGGAGGCUGCUCCAUUUGCCUCCAGAAAGAGGGGAGAUUGCAGUCCUUACUGUCUGGAUGUAUUAUUCUUAAAGAGGUUAAGAAUCCCAUCUACUUACAAAGUUACUUAGAGAGAUGAAUUUUAACAAGAAGGAGAAGAAGGGUGAGGACUGGAGAGAUCUCAGCUGUUAAGAACACCUGAUGCUCUUCCAAAGGACCCCGGCUCAAUCCCCAGCACCUAUAUGGCAACUUACAACCAUAUGGCAACUUGGAAUCUCCAGUUCCAAAAGAUCCAACACUUUUCAGGUCUCCAUGACACACAGCCAUACAUGCAGGCAAAACACUCAUAUACACAAGAUAAUAACUUUU
rnacentral:lncRNA from 1 species